rnacentral:lncRNA from 1 species
UCAGAGGAGAGAGAAUUCAUGAGGUACAAUUCGAAUUGAUCAGGUGACACAAUCCAACAUUACGAUUGGUCCAAUAUCUCGAGUGGUGAAAUCAACAUGAUCAAAUCAAGUCAUGACUAGAUCGAGAUCAUGGAUGAUCAAAUCUAAAGAUUCAUGGUCUGAUCAAGGUGGGUGCCAGUACACUGUCUGACAACCAUGGAUCAGAGUUCUUCAUUAGAAUCAGAUCAGGACUAUUAAAAAAAAUUUCUUCAUUCACUAAUUUUUUUAGAGAGAGAAUCAAUCAAGAGAG